rnacentral:misc_RNA from 1 species
GAAAGGUUCACAUCUCUCCUCUCGAUAAGAAAUUCUACUUGGGGCCGAGGAUAAGUGGACAUUGCAGAACAUUUGAGUGCCAGAAAGAGAUGAGUUGGUGCUGUACUUAUAAUCCUCUCCCUCUAUAUAGUCGUCUGCAAGUGACGGACUUCUCUUGUUCUUGGCAAUUGAAGAAUGCCCAAAAGAUGCUUCUAUCUCUGGGAAAGAAGCCCGAGAAGAAGAAGCAAUUCUAUAGAUUCCAAACCCCUUCAAAGGUUGUCGCUUACUAUAGAUUGAAGACACCACCUUAUAAACUCGAUGCUUUAGAACCAUAUAUGAGUAAGAGGACACUAGAGAUGCAUUGGGAAGAACAUCAUCGUGCCUAUGUGGAAGGAUUGAAUAAACAGCUAGCAAAUGAUGAUAUACUAUAUGGGUAUACUAUGGAUGAACUUGUCAAAGUAACAUAUAACAAUGGGAACCCCUUACCUGAAUUCAACAAUGCUGCCCAGGUCUGGAAUCAUGAUUUUUUUUGGGAAUCCAUGCAACCAGGAGGCGGUGAGAUGCCAGAACUUGGGGUACUUCAGCAGAUUGAAAAGGAUUUUGGUUCCUAUACAAAUUUCAAAGAGAAGUUUACAGAAUCAGCUUUUACUCUAUUUGGCUCUGGUUGGAUUUGGCUUGUAUUGAAGAGAGAAGAAAGACAACUUGCAAUCAUUAAAACAUCAAAUGCCAUCACUCCACUUGUAUGGGAUGAUAUCGUACGUCAAUUCUACAACCCUAUAUGCUUGAUUUUCAUAUUAACAAUUACAUUGAUAAUCUCUUUUUCUUGCAGCCCAUCAUCUGUUUAGAUAUGUGGGAGGUAAAUUUAUACUCUCGGUCUCUCUCACACGCAAAAACCACAGGCAUGCACAAGCUCACAAACAUACAAACUACAGCACAUUUGGCCUCAUAAUGCUUAUAAGUUGAUUAUCCUUCUCUAAUAUUUUGCAGCAUGCUUAUUAUCUGGAUUACAAGGUAUGUAACAAUCAUUGCCUUAUCUUGUUUUACCUACCAUGGGAUAUUUUCUUGAUGAUUAUGGCACAUCUUCCACCCAGAAUGACAGAGAGAAGUAUGUGAAUACAUUUAUGAAUCACCUCAUCUCAUGGAAUGUAGCAAUGGAACGUAUGGCACGUGCGGAGGCCUUUGUUAAUUUAGGAAAUUGCACAUUCUUUAUGGUUUGCAGCAAAAGUCGUUGCCAUAUGAUUUUUUUGAUGAGAGGAAAUUCUGCUAAUUGAGGAUAUGACCCAUCUUCAUAUGGUGGCAAUGAACUCCACUUGCCAGCAGGAUUUAAAGGCUCGAAUACAAUCACCCUAGCAUUUGAUAGCCCUACUGUAAAUUGCUUUGGUUUCUACGGAUGUGCAACAAUAACUAGUGGAUAAACAUCGUCACAUGAAAACAUUUCAAGAUCAAUACGUUUCUCACAUUUCAAGAUCAAUACGUUUCUCAAAAUGUCAUGUAUCCAUCAUGGAACAAUGAAAUUAAAAAAGGAAACAUAUUAGCCUUUUUGAUUUAUCAAUUAAAAUGCAUGAUUAUAUCUUUUUUUUGAAAAGUAGAGCAACCCAAAAAUGAAAAGAAGCAAAACAAGGUAGCAGUUCAUCUUAUCUCAAUGCUCAUGCUCUAAAAAUUGAGCAAAAGCUCCGACGGACUCCAGCUUCUGCAUCGCAGAGAUGCAACUUGUUGCAAGAGCUGUUUGCUGACAUAGCUUUGGAAG